rnacentral:rRNA from 1 species
UACGUAGGGUGCGAGCGUUAAUCGGAAUUACUGGGCGUAAAGUGUGCGCAGGCGGCCGAGCAAGUCGAGUGUGAAAGCCCCGAGCUUAACUUGGGAACUGCGCUCGAAACUACUUGGCUAGAGUGUGGCAGAGGGAGGUGGAAUUCCACGGUGUAGCGGUGAAAUGCGUAGAGAUGAUGGAGGAACACCGAUGGCGAAGGCAGCCUCCGUGGCCAACACUGACGCUCAUGCACGAAAGCGUGGGGAGCAAACAGGAUAGAA